GGAAUAGCCUUCCAGUGGGAGCAGUAACAGUGAUAUAGAAAGGGUAGUAGAUACCUGGGAAUAGCCUCCCAGUGGGAUAUAAAGGGUAGUAGAUACCUGGAAUAGCCUUCCAGUUGGAGCAGUAACAGUGAUAUAGAAAGGGUAGUAGAUACCUGGAAUAGCCUUCCAGUGGAAGCAGUAACAGUGAUAUAGAAAGGGUAGUAGAUACCUGGAAUAGCUUUCCAGUGGGAGCAGUAACAGUGAUAUAGAACGGGUAGUAGAUACCUGGAAUUGCCUUCCAGUGGGAGCAGUAAUAGUGAUACAGAACGGGUAGUAGAUACCUGGAAUAGCCUUCCAGUGGGAGCAGUAACAGUGAUAUAGAAAGGGAAGUAGAUACCGGGAAUAGCCUUCCAGUGGGAGCAGUAACAGUGAUAUAGAAAGGGUAGUAGAUACCUGGGAAUAGCCUCCCAGUGGGAUAUAAAGGAUAGUAGAUACCUGGAAUAGCCUUCCAGUUGGAGCAGUAACAGUGAUAUAGAAAGGGUAGUAGAUACCUGGAAUAGCCUUCCAGUGGAAGCAGUAACAGUGAUAUAGAAAGGGUAGUAGAUACCUGGAAUAGCUUUCCAGUGGGAGCAGUAACAGUGAUAUAGAACGGGUAGUAGAUACCUGGAAUUGCCUUCCAGUGGGAGCAGUAAUAGUGAUACAGAACGGGUAGUAGAUACCUGGAAUAGCCUUCCAGUGGGAGCAGUAACAGUGAUAUAGAAAGGGAAGUAGAUACCAAGGGAAGUCAAAACGAAGCCAAAGUCAAAUACCAGAAAAAUGCCAACACCCUCUCAGAUAACCAUAUGCAUGAUAUAGACAGUGCACUGACAAAAAGGUAAUUUGGGUUUAUAUAACCCUCCUU